GAUGAACGCUGGCGGCGUGCCUAAUACAUGCAAGUCGAGCGAACAGAUAAGGAGCUUGCUCCUUUGACGUUAGCGGCGGACGGGUGAGUAACACGUGGGUAACCUACCUAUAGGACUGGAAUAACUCCGGGAAACCGGGGCUAAUGCCGGAUAACAUUUAGAACCGCAUGGUUCUAAAGUGAAAGAUGGUUUUGCUAUCACUUAUAGAUGGACCCGCGCCGUAUUAGCUAGUUGGUAAGGUAACGGCUUACCAAGGCAACGAUACGUAGCCGACCUGAGAGGGGGAUCGGCCACACUGGAACUGAGACACGGUCCAGACUCCUACGGGAGGCAGCAGUAGGGAAUCUUCCGAAAUGGGCGAAAGCCUGACGGAGCAACGCCGCGUGAGUGAUGAAGGUCUUCGGAUCGUAAAACUCUGUUAUUAGGGAAGAACAAAUGUGUAAGUAACUGUGCACGUCUUGACGGUACCUAAUCAGAAAGCCACGGCUAACUACGUG
rnacentral:rRNA from 1 species